rnacentral:tRNA from 1 species
GGGCGAUUAACUCAAUGGUAGAGUGCCAUGUUCACAGCGUGGAGGUUACUGGUUCGAGUCCAGUAUCGCCCACCA